UAAAUAAUCAAUUAAAAUAAUUAGGGUAUUUUUGUCAUUUGUUAAUUUUGACUGAAUCAUGUCCAUCCAAAUGAUCCAAUUAAGUUCAGCCAAAUGAGUUUCAAAAUUUAGCAUAAAUUUUCAAACUCAUCCAAAUAAUUCAUUUGGAUGUAUCAUCUGAAUGAACCGUUUUUUGUACUAAACGAACAUCAAAACUCAUCUCCAUCCAAAUGAUCCAUCUGACUGAUGAACGAGCCUAAAUUCAUUGUCAAAUUUGA
rnacentral:sRNA from 1 species